rnacentral:rRNA from 1 species
UGCAAGUCGACGAAGAUGGCAGCCUCUGGUUGGCAUCUUAGUGGCGGACGGGUGAGUAACGCGUAAGAACUUGCCCCUGGGAGAGGGAUACCAACUGGAAACGGUUGUUAAUACCUCAUAGGCUGAGGAGUAAAAUGGUUAACACCGCCUAGGGAUAGGCUUGCGUCUGAUUAGCUAGUUGGUGGGGCAAAGGCCUACCAAGGCAAUGAUCAGUAGCUGGUCUGAGAGGACAAUCAGCCACACUGGGACUGAGACACGGCCCAGACUCCUACGGGAGGCAGCAGUGAGGAAUUUUCCGCAAUGGGCGAAAGCCUGACGGAGCAAUGCCGCGUGGAGGAUGAAGGCCCGUGGGUUGUAAACUCCUUUUCUUAGAGAAGAAGCCCUGACGGUAUCUAAGGAAUAAGCAUCGGCUAACUCCGUGCCAGCAGCCGCGGUAAUACGGGGGAUGCAAGCGUUAUCCGGAAUCAUUGGGCGUAAAGGGUCCUGAGGUGGUUUGCUAAGUCUACUGUGAAAGAUCAGGGCUCAACCCUGAAGAUGCGGUGGAAACUGGCAGGCUAGAAUACGGUAGGGGCAGGGGGAAUUCCCGGUGUAGCGGUGAAAUGCAUAGAUAUCGGGAAGAACACCAAAGGCGACGGCACCCUGCUGGGCCGAUAUUGACACUGACAGACGAAAGCUAGGGGAGCGAAUGGGAUUAGAUACCCCAGUAGUCCUAGCCGUAAACGAUGGAUACUAGUGCUGACGACCAAAACGUGCAGUGCUGC